rnacentral:rRNA from 1 species
UACGUAGGGUGCGAGCGUUGUCCGGAAUUAUUGGGCGUAAAGGGCUCGUAGGCGGUCGGUUACGUCGGGAGUGAAAACUCAGGGCUCAACCCUGAGCCUGCUUCCGAUACGGGCAGACUAGAGGUAUGCAGGGGAGAAUGGAAUUCCUGGUGUAGCGGUGAAAUGCGCAGAUAUCAGGAGGAACACCGGUGGCGAAGGCGGUUCUCUGGGCAUUACCUGACGCUGAGGAGCGAAAGUGUGGGGAGCGAACAGG